rnacentral:rRNA from 1 species
GUGCCAGCAGCCGCGGUAAUACGGAGGAUGCAAGCGUUAUCCGGAAUUAUUGGGCGUAAAGCGUCCGUAGGUGGUUGAGUAAGUCAGUUGUUAAAGCGUGGAGCUUAACUCCAUAUCGGCAAUUGAAACUACUCGGCUAGAGUGCGAUAGGGGCAAGGGGAAUUCCCAGUGUAGCGGUGAAAUGCGUAGAUAUUGGGAAGAACACCGGUGGCGAAAGCGCCUUGCUGGGUCUGCACUGACACUGAGGGACGAAAGCUAGGGGAGCGAAAGGGAUUAGAUACCCUCGUAGUCC